rnacentral:rRNA from 1 species
UACGUAGGUGGCAAGCGUUGUCCGGAGUUAUUGGGCGUAAAGCGCGCGCAGGCGGUGCGGUAAGUCUCUGGUGAAAGCGCUCGGCUUAACUGGGCGAGGGCCGGGGAGACUGCCACGCUGGAGGGGAGCAGAGGCGAGUGGAAUUCCGGGUGUAGUGGUGAAAUGCGUAGAGAUCCGGAGGAACACCAGUGGCGAAGGCGGCUCGCUGGGACGGUACUGACGCUGAGACGCGAAAGCGUGGGGAGCGAACAGG